AUUGGACGCUGGCGGCAUGCCUUACACAUGCAAGUCGAACGGCAGCACGGGAGCUUGCUCCUGGUGGCGAGUGGCGAACGGGUGAGUAAUACAUCGGAACGUACCCUGAAGUGGGGGAUAACGUAGCGAAAGUUACGCUAAUACCGCAUAUUCUGUGAGCAGGAAAGAGGGGGAGUCGCAAGACCUCUUGCUUUAGGAGCGGCCGAUGUCGGAUUAGCUAGUUGGUGAGGUAAAGGCUCACCAAGGCGACGAUCCGUAGCGGGUCUGAGAGGAUGAUCCGCCACACUGGGACUGAGACACGGCCCAGACUCCUACGGGAGGCAGCAGUGGGGAAUUUUGGACAAUGGGCGCAAGCCUGAUCCAGCCAUGCCGCGUGAGUGAAGAAGGCCUUCGGGUUGUAAAGCUCUUCGUGGGGAAGAAAUUGCACAGGAUAAUACCUUGUGUAGAUGACGGUACCCGCAUAAGAAGCACCGGCUAACUACGUGCCAGCAGCCG
rnacentral:rRNA from 1 species